AAUGCAGCCAAACCCAAAGAUCUCGUCUCUCCGUGGUGGGAUUUUUUUUGGUGUGCAAAUAGAAACAUGGUCCUUGUCGCCUUUCUCUGACGUUAAAAUGUCUCUGAAAGUGAAUUCAAGGGUCUACAGAA